rnacentral:lncRNA from 1 species
GUCUUUCUUUUUCUCUUCUUUCUUUAGUUUUCAUAAAGUCGUUGCCACCUUGCCGGAAAUUUAUUGACCUACGGCAAGUUCCAUUGAUGGCUUCAAUCUACACAAGGAUACUCCCAAAAACCUCAAAUUUAUUUCUCCAAUCUCCACCAUAGUUGUUUAUGGGGGGUGAAAGUAUCAAGAUUACAGCAUAAACAAUCUUAUCAUUACUUUGUUAUAGCGACCAUAUAUUGUACCCUUCACUCACGUCAUAUUCAAGUAACUACUCAGUGUAACGAUCCGACCGAUUGUUUUCAGAGUUGUAGCCCCAUUCCCCCAUUUUCUAUUCAUUUCCUUCUUAAUUAUUGUUAUGUGAUUUGCCGGGGUAGUUGGUUCGAGUCCUGAAAGGUUUCAGAAUGAAUUGAGACACUUAGUCUCAAGGUUGGAAGUUUAAGUUAAAAAGGUUGACCGGAUGUUGACUAAUGUGUAAAUGACUCCAGAAUAAAGUUUUGAUGGUUCAGUUAGCUCCGUUGGAUGAUUUUUGAUUUAGGAGUGUGUCCGACAUAGAUCAGGAUACGAUUGGAAUUUGAAUUUUCUAAUUCACUCCUAGAGUAUUUGAGUACGAUAAUUUCAUAGCGCAAAUAUUAUGGAAUCUAUACCCUCAAUUGUCGGGAAACAAGCCCUCAACUUUGAUUUAUAGUAUAUAUACCUAGCAGAAUAUUACUAGUGGCACGUGAGGGAUACAACCAAAAUCAACAUGUGCCAAUUUUACUUGGCUAGAAAUUAUUCUUUUAGUAAUAAUGAUCAAACAGUCUCUAUUCCUUUGAUGUAGAAAUGUAUAUUGCCAAAUACAUAGGUAGUCCCCUAAACUUGUCCUGUUAUUUUAGUUAAAUAUUUAAAUUUAAAUUAGUAUUUAUUGAACACCUAAACUUUAUUAAAAUUAUCAAUUUAGCACAUUUAGUUAACAUGGCAGAGUAAGUGUUUUUCAUUCUCUUUGACCGUGUACAUAUUUGAAAAAUAAUUAACAUUUUAUUUUUUGUCUUUCUUUUUCUCUUCUUUCUUUAGUUUUCAUAAAGUCGUUGCCACCUUGCCGGAAAUUUGUUGACCUACGGCAAGUUCCAUUAAUGGCUUCAAUCUACACGAGGAUACUCCCAAAAACCUCAAAUUUGUUUCUCCAAUCUCCACCAUGGUUGUUUACGCGGGGUGAAAGUAUCAAGAUUACAGCAUAGUCUCAUGGUUCGGGUCCGGGAAAGUUUCAGAAUGAAUUGAGACACUUAGUCUCAUGGUUGAAAGUUUAAGUUGAAAACGUUGACCAGAUAUUGACUAAUGUGUAAACGACUCCGGAAUGAAGUUUUGAUGGUUCCGUUAGCUCCGAUGGGUGAUUUUUGACUUAGGAGUGUAUCCGAUAUGGAUCAGAAUACGAUUGAAAUUUGAAUUUUCUAGUUCAUUCCUA